UGUCAGAAAUACAUUUUUCCAGUUAAUAUCUCAUUCCAACUUUUCAAAUCAAAAGGCAAAUCAUAACUUUAUUUUACAACAGACAUGCUGAUUUAAUCUGUAAAUGCUCUAGACUGCUGUAGUUUGUUAAUAUCUGUUUAUGCAGGAUGAAGGCGUAAUUUCGCCCCAGUCAGUUCGUCCCCAAUUUUAAUGGAAUUGGUUAGAGAUCCGUUACUUAAUAUACAAUAAGUAACAUAUUUCACCAAGAUUCCUGUGACAGUCAGUUUUAUGAGUCAAGAUUACAACAAGAUCUCAUUUCUGCAUCUGGAAGAGUCUACUUCACCAAAGAUGUGUUUGAGCUUCUCUGUGAAUUGGGAUUUGUUACUAACAUUUUGUUUCUUUUUAAGUGGAACAAUGUUUUCUUUUACACAUGGAAACUCUGGACAUUCAUGUUGCCUGUUUGGGACCAAAUGUGAUAUCCAAACUUUGACCAUGGCCACUGACCUGCAGGCCAAUACUCAUGUGACUGUGCUUUAUUACAUGAAAUCGAACAUAAUUGAACUAUACAAAGACUAGCAAUUUGCACAAAUUCAUUUACUGAGGUUUUAUUUCAGAAAUCAUGAAAUACAUGUUUCUGUUGGACAAAGUGAUCUUACUUUUAAAGCAGCAUGCCUCCAGAUUUGGCUAAAAGAUAAUCUUUCUUUCAAACUGAAGUUUGAUCAUUUUAUGAACAUAGAAUAUGAAUUUUUGUUUCUAACAUAUUUUAAAAGUUCCAAAUCAAGAAAAAAAGAUGACCGCAUCGGGAAUCGAACUCCGGACCACCGCGACAAUAAAGACAUUUUCCCAUCGUCGUAACCAAUAGCGCUAUAGCUGAAGUAGUGAUAAUGACUCCAAAAUAUAGAUAAUUAUAACUGAGACAGUUUACCUGGAGUAAAAGCGUGACAAAGGCUUUUCAAUUUUCGUCGUAAGAAGUAGUAAAAACAGCAAAUUCUCAAGUGUUUCCAUAACAUAAAGUUUGUCAGUAAUUAAGUUUUAAAGCCUUCUUAAGAAAUAUAGCAUUUAUUUCAAGAUACAUAAUUUAAAAAAAAAAAAAUUUGUUGUCAAACGAUCUGGAGGCAUGCUGCUUUAAGCCAACUGACCUUGCUCUGACAAAUAUUACAGAGGUCAUUGCAACAACUUGUGUUUUGUGGUAUGUAUGAACGAAAAAAGUGACAAUAAUAUAAGAAUUCUUUAUUAUUA